rnacentral:lncRNA from 1 species
ACAGACUCUCAUGCAGAAGUUUACUAGCCUCCAAACGGCCCAGAGCAGCUGUCACUUUCCUCUGCGCGCUCUUAGUGACCUCUUGAGCCUUCUGCACCGCAGAUUUACAUGAAGAACGAAGCUUGUCUGUGCGCACGACUUCUGCUUGGAGUGCAGCUGGCGGUAAGAACUUUGGGGCCCUCGAGCUCAUCACUUAUACCAGUCCAGAUCUUUGGAGCUUUUCAAGAUAUUGACGUCAUGCUAUGGUGAAUGUCUCUGAUGAACUAGAACGGACAUAACUUCGAGUUCGCAACGAAUAUUGCAGGAAAGACCAGAUCAUGCAGGUCUCGAUGCGAUCAGAAGCGUGUGUGAGUGCUCUGGAGCACAGCAAGAAUUUCGAAUGCAGACAAGUUACAUGACGGUUUCAAGGAUACCCUUGGCAUAAUACGGGUUAAAAAAUUGUUCGUAUAGUAGAAGUGCGUUCCUG